rnacentral:lncRNA from 1 species
AAAUUUGAAAUUCAAAUUUUGCCAUGAUUUCUUUCCUUAGAAACCAAAAUACUGCCAUAACCGUCACUCUUACCUUCUUUAAACCCCUCAACCCACAAUUUUCACCCACAAACCCUAACCUUCAAAACCGCUACACCACGAUCCCCACUCUCUCCAAACCCUAAAUUUUCAUAACUGCCAAUCGUCUUUUAAAGCAAGCCUUGUUCCCAAAUUUCCCCACAAACCCAAACUUUCCCCCACAAAAAGAAAAAAAAAAUCCGAUCUUUAGUCUCUACAAAUCACCAUGGCAAAAACUAAAGGAGGGACGGCGUCCGGAAGCACUCAACCACCGAAAGGAAGAAACACCAAACCACCGCCUCCGAAGCGAACUACGAGGCGAACCACCUCUGAAGAGACCUCCACCAAGGUCAC